AAUGAUACGUCGUGCUUGUGUUUUCAUGCUCGAAGUUAGACCUAAUCUACGUGCAGAGCUGAUGAAGACUGUUCUUUCUAGUUCUUACCAUCUGAGGUAUCAAAAGCAUCUCAGAAGAUUUUUCAUCUAGAAUUGCUGAUAUUUUCAGUUUUAUGGAUGUUAAAAUUGAAAAGAAUGUAUAUUGCGUAGAAAGUGAUUCACUGAUUCUACAUGAAAUGUUUGCUUUACAUUUCUAGUUUGCUGCAUUUGAUUAUAUUAUAUAUUUUGUUAGUUUAUAUGAUAUAUAUGUAUUUGAGGAUUUCUACUUGAAGAACUGUUAGGUUAACUAUUACCUUAAGGGUUCGUUUGGUACGAGGGAUAAGGGAUAAUUAAUCCCGGCAUUAAAUUUUAGAUGAGUUUAUCCCACGGUUGGUUGGGAUAAAAUUGUGGUACAACUAAUCCCGGGAUUGUAGUGUUUUUUUAUCCCUAUGAGGGUGGGAUAACUAAUCCCGGGAUAACUUGUUUCCCAACCAAAUGACCCCUAAGUUUUCUAAACAUCUGCCAGAAGAUGCUGCACUUCCUCCUCUGCGUCCAGGAAAAAAUAUUGGUUACUGAUGAGGGAGAAAUUCUAAUUAUCUGCUUUUUCUGGCUCCUGUUCUUUCUUGAGGUUUUCUUGGCAAUGAUAAUGUCUUUAUUAAUUAAUUAACAAUUCUUUUGCAGGCAUGACAAAAUGCAUCAAGCAGAGUAGCAGAUGAGCGUUUUGCAUGAGCAUGAAGUCAUUGUACCAUAAUUGUUUGUUUGGUGGUGACUAGCAGCCUAAAUUUUGUAAGUUGGGUCUUUGUUGGUCUGUUUUGUUAGUUCCAAUUUGGACAUUCAGGCUGCUAAAGUUUCACAUAUUUGAAAUAUGUAGGACUUCCUUUUGUAAGAACAUAUUAAUUUGCAUUAACAGCAUAUUGUGUGUGAAAUUGGUUGGCGGUUUCAGUUUGCAUUGCCUAUUGAUCUGAUUAGAUCCAUCUUCUCCCACCUUACUCGUCAUUUUUUUCUUGGGAAUGUAUCGGACAGAAAAACUGUCAAUGAAAUGCCCGAUUGAUUCUUGCACUGUAAAAGACGUGAAAAUGUUUCUCAAAUUCAGAUUUUAGGAACUUGAACAUUUCUAUUGGGACCUUUUCAUCUAUACAGGUAUACUUCAUAUUGCUGAUAAUAGCAAUGUGCCUCCGUUUGAAUGAAUCAAUGACCUGUGUGAUAAUAUCGUUCUGUAUUUCUACAUUCCUAUGAUUUUGAACACUCCUAUGUAUUUCUACAUUCCUAAGAAUGGUCAACAUUGUUCUUCUAUCUUUGCGGAGCAUCAACCGGCAGGGUCUUACGGAUUCCUGAUUAUAUGGAUCUCCCGAAGGUUUUAUUUGAGUGAGAGAAUGUGAAUCUCUUCAUCCCUAGACAAGCCUGGAAAAGUCAUAGUUGAAAAAUGUAAAUAAAGUGAAACGAUAGGACAAUGACCAACUUUAUAUGAUACACUUGAUAAGAUGAUGGUUUUGAUGGACAUGCUUUUGUUUGAUUGGCACAUAGUUGAAUUAGGAACAAAUACACAUACUAGAUCGUAAUGUUUGACCUAUCACAAUGAAAAGUGAUUGCAAAUUGGUGGGAAGAAAAAAGAAUCCUACUGGACUGUAGCAUUUAACUUGGUCUUUCAGCUUCAGUAUGUGUAUACUUUUCAAUAACUGGUUUUCUUUGUAAGAGAAUUUCUGUCUGAAGAUCUUGAGCAAACAUUGAUUAAGCUAAAAAUAGUACUAUUAGUUACUCUAUACGUAUUAAUGGUUGAUACACACACAUUACAAUAUUGACAUCAAACACUGGAUCCUUUAAGAGAGCCUUUGAAAAGAAACGAGCAAAUUAGAGAAGAUUAGUUAUUCUUUUUAUAAAAGGGGUGCAAAUGGUGCUGAUAGAUAUUUGUAUUUUAGUUGGUGUAGGAUA
rnacentral:lncRNA from 1 species